UUGCGUAGGUGGCAAAGUAAGUCUGUAGUGAAAGCGUGGGGCUCAACCUCAUACACAUUAUGGAAACUGCUUAGCUAGAGGACGAGAGAGGUACCUGGAAUUCCCAGUGUAGGAGUGAAAUCCGUAGAUAUUGGGAGGAACACCGAUGGCGUAGGCAGGGCACUGGCUUGUUCCUGACACUAAGGCACGAAAGCGUGGGUAGCAAACG
rnacentral:rRNA from 1 species